rnacentral:rRNA from 1 species
CCUACGGGUGGCAGCAGUGAGGCAUAUUGCUCAAUGGGCGCGAGCCUGAACCAGCCAAGCAGCGUGAAGGAUGACUGCCCUACGGUUUGUCAACUUCUUUUAUAAAGGAAUAAAGUGAGGCAUUUGUGCCUUUUUGCAUUUACUUUAUGAAUAAGGAUAGGCUAACACAGUUCCAGCAGCCGCGGGAAUACGGAGGCUCCGAGCGUUACCCGGAUUUAUUGGGUGUAAAGGUAGCGUAGGGGGGUUGUUAAGUUAGUUGUGAAAGUUUGCGGCUCAACCGUAGAACUGCAUUUGAUACUGGCAGUCUUGAGUACAGUAGAGGUAGGCGGAAGUCGUGGUGUAGCGGUGAAAUGCGUAGAGAUCAAGAAGAACACCGAUUGCGAAGGCAGCCUACUAGACUGACACUGACGCUGAUGCUCGAAAGUGUGGGGAGCAAACAGGAUUAGAGACCCUAGUAGUC